AUAUGGUAAGCAACAGUCAAGUACUGUUUCGGGAUGGCUUAUCAGAAAUGAAUAAUCCGGCUUCCGUGUCCAUGCUGUCCGGACUCA
rnacentral:sRNA from 12 species